UACGGAGGGGGUUAGCGUUGUUCGGAAUUACUGGGCGUAAAGCGCGCGUAGGCGGACUAUUAAGUCAGAGGUGAAAUCCCGGGGCUCAACCCCGGAACUGCCUUUGAUACUGGUAGUCUUGAGUUCGAGAGAGGUAAGUGGGAAUUCCGAGUGUAGAGGUGAAAUUCGUAGAUAUUCGGAGGAACACCAGUGGCGAAGGCGGACUUGACUGGCGUCGGAUACUGGCGCUGGAGGUGCGAAAGUGUGGGGAGCAAAACAGGAUUAGAUACCCCGUGUAGUC
rnacentral:rRNA from 1 species